GAUCAUUUAAAAGUAACGCAUUUUCUCCAUUACUAAACGUCAGAAAUUCAGAAUUAGAGUGAUAAUUGAGAAUCAACUUGAAAGGAGUAAUGAUGCUUUUAAGAACAGUUGAGCAUGUUUGACUUUCCCUUCGGUGCAGAGGAUAUUUGCCUGCAGCCCUGGCGUGUUCAUUAAUUCGUUCAGCAAUAUUUAUAGACUGACCACUUAAAAUGUGCUGAGUCCUGACUCAUUAUUGGACAUACAGACACUUCCAGAUAACAGCCAUAUGGCCCAAACUGAUUAAAAGCAGAUCAAGUAAGCCUUCCUUUAUCAGCUCCUGAAACGACUCAAAAGUUCUCAGCACCUAAGGAGCCUGUAGUUGGCACCCUGUGUUGAUUCUGAAGAUCAGCUCAGAUAACUACAGAGGUUACUCAGAAAGGGCUUUUAAAACUAAAUGAAAACAUGUCUGUGCUUCCAAAGAGAAGUAAGGGAAUACCUACUUCAAAGAAAAAGGAAGGAGCUGAGGGUGGAGCGAAUCCAUCAUGGCCCUGGCUUCAAUGCCCAAUACCAAAAAUAAACAGAACCAAGGAAAAGCAAAACCCCAUGGAAAGGAUGCUAAACCCUUGGCUGCAUCAGCAUUUUCAAACUCCAGUACAAAACUCUACACCUGGAGCACUCCUAGCAACCACCAGCUUCUACCUGAGGAGAGUAUUCUUUGAUCUGCAGUGCUGGCAUGUACUCUGGUUUGCUUAGUGAAUGUGUUUGGACACAUUCUUUUUUUUUGCAAGACUCUUUAAAAUUGAGAAUCAGCCCAAAUUAAAGAGUUGCUACAUACUUAUUGACCUGUUCAUUUGUGUGGAGGCCCAUUUUUGAGGUUAAUUUUGGUCACAAAUGUGUUGAUACACAGCACAUUCAUAUUGACAUUUAUUACAUGUUAAUAUUGUGUUAAAUGUGUUUAGUGUAUUUAUU
ensembl:lncRNA